rnacentral:rRNA from 1 species
GACGAACGCUGGCGGCGUGCCUAAUACAUGCAAGUAGAACGCUGAAGGAGGAGCUUGCUUCUCCGGAUGAGUUGCGAACGGGUGAGUAACGCGUAGGUAACCUGCCUGGUAGCGGGGGAUAACUCUUGGAAACGAUAGCUAAUACCGCAUAAGAGUAGAUGUCGCAUGACAUUUGCUUAAAAGGUGCACCUGCACCCCUACCAGAUGGACCUGCCUUGUAUUAGCCAGUUGGUGGGGUAACGGCUCACCAAGGCAACGAUACAUAGCCGACCUGCGAGGGGGAUCGGCCAAACUGGGACUGAGACACGGCCCAGACUCCUACGGGAGGGAGCAGGAGGGAAACUUCGGCAAUGGACGGAAGGCUGACCGAGGAACGACGCGGGAGUGAAGAAGGGUUUCGGAUCGGAAAGCUCGGUUGUAAGAGAAGAACGAGAGGGAGAGUGGAAAGUGCACACUGUGACGGUAUCUUACCAGAAAGGGACGGCUAACUACGUG